rnacentral:misc_RNA from 1 species
AACCAUUCUCACCUGCGGCUAGACCUGCGGAGGGAUCAUUAUUGAAUAAACUGCCUUGAUGGGUUGUCGCUGGCCUCUUGAGGCAUGUGCACGCCUGUCUUGACUCUAUUCAUCCACCUGUGCACCUACUGUAGUUCUAUACUCCCUGAAGGUCAAGAAAGCAGGUCUGUUGUUCAGUUGAGACAUACUGGAUUUGAGGAUUGCCCCUAAAGCUUUCCCUCUGUUGGCCUUGUGGAAUUG